UUAUAAUCAAGUUCAUAAUUCUUGAUGCCAACUAACAUUUCAACUAUCAUAUUUUUUUCAAGUUUCAUGCCUAGGGUUAAGUUCCAAUUCCUCCACAUAAGAAAAAAACAAUUGGCAUUCAGGGAAUAUAAUUCACCUAGUACUUGAUUUCUUAUCUUAAUAUUUCAACACAUUGAAUUUCUAGGCGAUAACUAAAGAAAGUAACCACGUUUUGCUUAAUUCACACAUGACCCAUACUUAAGUUGCAUAAAAAAAUUAUAAAAAUAUGCAGAACCCUACUUGUGCAUAAUUAUCAAUUAUUAAUUGCUUUCAUGAUUUUUCCCACUAGUUUAUACCUGUCAGAAAUUUGCUACCACCCAUAUGACUAAAGUAACGAGAAAAAUAUUUAAGAAAUCUAAACAUUAAUCCAAUAGUUAAAUAAUAAAAGCCUCCAGAUCGGUAGACAAUUUAUACUUUCUAUAUACACCUCUUUAUCUUAACAAUUUUACAUUCCAACAAACCUUUAAGAUUUAAGAUGUAGUUUUACCUGAUCUUGACCUGCGGCUCCUUUAUUUUACAGGGGGAAUACAGAGAUAAUAGGUACAUCUUUAAAUAUGCCAUUAAACUGGACGGAAUGAUGGCGAAGAGAAUGCUGAAUCAGAGUACAGAUCCUUCAUUCAAUCAGAUUGUCUAGACAGAGUUUACCUAGGGGAACCAUAGAAACUGUGG
rnacentral:lncRNA from 1 species